GAUGAACGCUGGCGGCGUGCCUAAUACAUGCAAGUCGAGCGAACAGACGAGGAGCUUGCUCCUCUGACGUUAGCGGCGGACGGGUGAGUAACACGUGGAUAACCUACCUAUAAGACUGGGAUAACUUCGGGAAACCGGAGCUAAUACCGGAUAAUAUAUUGAACCGCAUGGUUCAAUAAUGAAAGACGGUUUUGCUGUCACUUAUAGAUGGAUCCGCGCCGCAUUAGCUAGUUGGUAAGGUAACGGCUCACCAAGGCAACGAUGCGUAGCCGACCUGAGAGGGUGAUCGGCCACACUGGAACUGAGACACGGUCCAGACUCCUACGGGAGGCAGCAGUAGGGAAUCUUCCGCAAUGGGCGAAAGCCUGACGGAGCAACGCCGCGUGAGUGAUGAAGGUCUUCGGAUCGUAAAACUCUGUUAUUAGGGAAGAACAAAUGUGUAAGUAACUAUGCACGUCUUGACGGUACCUAAUCAGAAAGCCACGGCUAACUACGUG
rnacentral:rRNA from 1 species